rnacentral:rRNA from 1 species
CGUACACUCCUACGGGAGGCAGCAGUGGGGAAUAUUGGACAAUGGGCGCAAGCCUGAUCCAGCCAUGCCGCGUGAGUGAUGAAGGCCCUAGGGUUGUAAAGCUCUUUCACCGGUGAAGAUAAUGACGGUAACCGGAGAAGAAGCCCCGGCUAACUUCGUGCCAGCAGCCGCGGUAAUACGAAGGGGGCUAGCGUUGUUCGGAUUUACUGGGCGUAAAGCGCACGUAGGCGGACUAUUAAGUCAGGGGUGAAAUCCCGGGGCUCAACCCCGGAACUGCCUUUGAUACUGGUAGUCUUGAGUUCGAGAGAGGUGAGUGGAAUUCCGAGUGUAGAGGUGAAAUUCGUAGAUAUUCGGAGGAACACCAGUGGCGAAGGCGGCUCACUGGCUCGAUACUGACGCUGGGGUGCGAAAGCGUGGGGAGCAAACAGGAUUAGAAACCCUGGUAGUCC